UAUAUGAGGAAACUGGGUUUCCUGUUCAACUUUAAUCGUUCGUCUUAUUUAAAAAAAUAGAUUGGAAUUUGUAUUGAUAUUAGAUUAUAAAAUAUGAAUAGUGUUUUAUGCUUGACUUAUGUUUUUAUUUUUUUAAAAAAAUAAAUAAGAUAAACAAUUAAAGCUGGACACGAAAACUCAUGGCUGCGCUUAUU
rfam:Oryza sativa Japonica Group DNA, chromosome 11, cultivar: Nipponbare, complete sequence.